UCCUCUGCUACUUAUUUUUAUGUUUCCCUGACACUACACUCCCUCCUGAUUUCCUUCCUACCUUUGCCCAGGAAGAGACAGAGCUAAUUCCACGCUUAUGUACUACAGAAACCACUUCCUAGACUGCAGCUGUUUCAAAUGGUGGCCAGAAGUAUUCCAGAGACUGCUGUGCUAAGACAUCAGCUUUCACAAACAGGAGACUUGUGUUUGCACCUCUGCACCUUGGGUCCUGCUGCCUCCUGGAGAAGGGACAGAGGCGGAGGAGGUGCUGGUGAAAUGUUCAAUGGGAAGGAAUGUUGCUUGGUCCCUGCUUGGGCUUCUCCACAGACACUGAGAAAAGGGAAGCGUGAGGCCUGCCUUUCUGCCUAUACCAGAAGCCCUGAGUCCCACGGUUGAGUACAUACCUUGCAGGUAGGGCUCCUCCAUCUCUGAGUCAGUGGUGGUGGUAUGAUCCUGCUGGGGAAGCUUCUCAGGCAAGAACCCCUGUGCAUACUUCUUCUUGAGAUUCCCCACCAGCAGGGACGAGCGUCCCACCUAGAGGACAGGUGACAUGGAGGCCAUAGGGUUAGAUCCUAGACUCCUUGCUACACAGCCUUAUUAUAAUUACAGGUACAAAGUAGUCAGGCAGAUAUCAGACCACCCCAGGCCUCCCCCGCAUGCCACCAUCCAAGGGUGCCCCACUCAAGGAGCACUCUUCUGCUGUCUGGUUCCCAAAGUAAGAAACAGUGGGCAUCACAGUACGGGGACAGCUUGACGAGUCAGGGGUAGUCUAUUCUGCCAGGUGUGUACAAGGGCAGAGAUCGGAUUUCCCUCACCACUCACUGAUCAGGUGCCAGGUUGUGUGUUUAGAGAGCACCAGGAGGGGCAGGGCUAAGUGUGCGAGUGUAUUUACAAGACUCAACAUUCCUGUUUUGAUUUCUCUACCUAACCACAGCUGCGGCGGAGGGGCAGCAGCCACAGGGGAGAGCAGGACACAACUGACCCCAGCCACAGAGGAAUGCUCAGUAGAUGGCAGCACCAAGGUUGGCUUUACCUCUUUAGGCCCUUGCUUUGUUUGGGUAACCUGGUGGCACAUGGCAUGUGGCUCUAGGAUGAUGUAAGCUGCUGUUCUAUCUGCCUUCAUUCCAUAGGCUCAGGGUUUCUCCAGAGGCAAGAGGAGGACUAGACUGGGGUGGAGGGGAGGCAUGGAGCAGAGCUAGCUCCUUAUAAGGUGAGCUGCCCCUGGGGAGCUCUGCCACUGGCUGUGGCCAACUUCCAGAAGGAGAGGGCACAAAUGUGCUUGUCUGCUGAUGGUUCAGAAAGUGGUUCACCCACUGCAGAAAUCAAGCUCAAUACUCUGGUGACUUUUAACACUUCCCACAGAUCCAAUACAUGAGCAACAGGCAGAUGGUACCCUAGGGGAUGGGGCUUCCAAUACACAGUCCUCCUGAGCCACUCGCACCGUUUCUGAAGGCCCCGAUUACUCUUCAAGGCUCUGCUCCCAGAAGCACAUCUCAGGCUGCACUCCCAUGCCACUAUCUUGAUUUCCAGCACAGCUUGAGAACUCUGUACUAAUAGGUUCCUUUUGCUAACUGGCCAGAGUUUUGCUGUUCAGGUUUUGGCAUUGAAAACUCAAUAAAGUAUAAUUUUCGAAA